GUGGGGAAUAUUCCACAAUGGACGAAAGUCUGACGGAGCAACGCCGCGUGAGUGAUGAAGGUUUUCGGACUGUAAAGCUCUGUUGUUUAGGACGAAAGUGCCUGUUGCAAAUAGUUACAGGUAUUGACGGUACUGAACGAGGAAGCCACGGCUAACUACGUGUCAGCAGCCGCGGUAAUACGUAGGUGGCAAGCGUUGUCCGGAAUUAUUGGGCGUAAAGAGCAUGUAGGCGGGAAUCUAAGUCUGUUGUGAAAAUGCGGGGCUCAACCCCGUAUGGCGAUGGAAACUGGGUUUCUUGAGUGCAGGAGAGGAAAGGGGAAUUCCCAGUGUAGCGGUGAAAUGCGUAGAUAUUGGGAGGAACACCAGUGGCGAAGGCGCCUUUCUGGACUGUGUCUGACGCUGAGAUGCGAAAGCCAGGGUAGCGAACGGGAUUAGAAACCCCAGUAGUCC
rnacentral:rRNA from 1 species